rnacentral:rRNA from 1 species
AACGAACGCUGGCGGCAUGCCUAACACAUGCAAGUCGAACGAGACCUUCGGGUCUAGUGGCGCACGGGUGCGUAACGCGUGGGAAUCUGCCCUUGGGUUCGGAAUAACAGUUAGAAAUGACUGCUAAUACCGGAUGAUGUCUUCGGACCAAAGAUGUCUCGCCCAGGGAUGAGCCCGCGUCGGAUUAGCUAGUUGGUGAGGUAAAAGCUCACCAAGGCGACGAUCCGUAGCUGGUCUGAGAGGAUGAUCAGCCACACUGGGACUGAGACACGGCCCAGACUCCUACGGGAGGCAGCAGUGGGGAAUAUUGGACAAUGGGCGAAAGCCUGAUCCAGCAAUGCCGCGUGAGUGAUGAAGGCCUUAGGGUUGUAAAGCUCUUUUACCCGGGAUGAUAAUGACAGUACCGGGAGAAUAAGCCCCGGCUAACUCCGUGCCAGCAGCCGCAGUAACAC